GAGAACAUGGGCAAUCACCUCCUCGUCAGGAGCUAGUGUCACACUUCUCACACCCCUGCCAGCUUCAGGCGUGGGCUCUGGUGUGCGGAGCAGGGGCAGCUGUCCUGCAGGGCCGAGUGCUAAAAUGGAAGAUACUCUGUACUCAGAGGCCAGCCUUCUUGAGGCUCUCUUCAUGCUACAGCCAGCUUUGCCGACGCUCAGCCCUGCCCCCACCACUCUUCACUGAAGAGAGGGACCACAGUGACUGGGGAGAAGGAGGAACAUUUGGUCUGUGCGCUGCAGUGAGAGACUUACCAGAAGCUGCUUCUUCUGUCUGAAUCGCACCGUGUGAUUGUAAACAUUGAUGAGAAUCUCUUUGAGCAAAGAAAUCUGAUUGCCAUAGACUUCCACUUGCACUGACUUCACAUAAGAGACUUUGGUGUUGGCACCUCUGUGUUCAUUCGUUGUGGACACAUGAAAGUAUGGAAGCCCCUGAGAGACGUUGCACAAUUUCGAGAGGGUGUAAGAGCAAUUUCCCAUGAAAUUAUGAACUCUGUGGUCAAAAGUAUUAUAAUGUGGAUCCCCAGAGGCACUGCAGGAAGCAUGGCCUAGGAAGAAAGAAAAAGAAAGAUAGAACAAUUCCUUCUGAAUCUCUAACAGACUUCUGCAACCACUGUGCCCCCAUCAGACACUUCAUUUUACUUUGUAAUUGCUGCUCAGAUAUAACAGUGAUGGCAUCAGUGAGCAACAGAGUACAAAAGAGUCAUGCAAACUUUCCACAGAGAAAAUGCCAUUCUACUGUAACUGGAAGUCACCUAGAUACUCUCACAACUCCUGAAGGUCAUACCACCUGAUUCAGGGAUUCAUUGGAUGUAAAGUAAAUAGAGAUCCACCAUCUGCAGCUUGAGAUCAGGAGUCAAUCUGAAUCAUGCACAUUCAUCUAAAUAGGAUUUUCGAGCCUACAACUGCCUUGAGACUGAAAUCAAGACGUUCCAAAGCCCAGCCCAGACUCUCGUCUUUGAAGCCAUAAAGAAUCAGUAUCUCUGUGUACCAGAAAACUAUGCUAGAGGUUGAAGCAGAAAUACGAGCAAGAUGUAUCAUGUUGAUAUGAGGACAUCAGUAUGUAAGGCAGAGCAGUGAGUGUUUCAUGUCCAAGUCUGAAAUGCUAUUUCAGACUGAAUAGGAAGAACUUACUCAAAACCUUUUCAUGGCUGGUUAGCCAGAACAAACUGGUGCACUAUCAGCUGUCUGGGGUUCUGUACUCAUGUUGAUUAUAGAAUCUCUAUUGAAUAGUGUAUGCAUGACACCUCGUAGCCAGUGAUAAUAUGUACAGCUUGAGGUCUUCAGUGUGUGUGUGUCUGUGUGUGUGUGCACAUGCUGG
rnacentral:lncRNA from 1 species